ACAACUGAAGAACACUUCUCUCAGUGACACUUCUGACUCAACAUCAAACCACCAAAGCAUUGCCACUCAAACAACGGAGCCCUUAACUAGUGCCACUGCACAUGGGAUCAGUUCAACAGGAAGCACUAAAACAACUAGCUCAGACACAUCAACAACAUCUGAGACACCUACACUGACUCCAAAUCAUGCAAACAAUGAUUCCAUUACCACCACUGAUUCCAAAACACAAUAUAAAGUAGAGCAAACCUCAGACAGCAAUACAUCCACUGGAACAUUAACUGGUACCCAAAGGCCUGAGCCAACAAACGAAACUUCAACCAACAGUAGUGUCACAAAGACAUCAU
ensembl:lncRNA